rnacentral:rRNA from 1 species
UACAGAGGUCUCAAGCGUUGUCCGGAAUCACUGGGCGUAAAGGGCGCGUAGGCGGCAGGCCAAGCGUGCGGUGAAAGUCCGGGGCUCAACCCCGGAUCUGCCGUGCGGACUGGUUUGCUAGAGCACUGUAGAGGCGAGUGGAAUUCCGGGUGUAGCGGUGGAAUGCGUAGAGAUCCGGAAGAACACCGGUGGCGAAGGCGGCUCGCUGGGCAGUGGCUGACGCUGAGGCGCGACAGCGUGGGGAGCAAACAGG